UUUACCAUCUGCGUCCUCCAUAAAGGAGCGAAAGCCUAGGCGAUUCUCCCGCCAGUGGUGGCGCGCCAAGUGCGUGAAAUAUUUACCAUGCUGUUUCACAGCGCGCGGCGUGGACGGCGAGUAAGGUCGCCUUUUUCCUGUCCCGCCUCCUCUUUCCUCCCCCUCCUUUUCUGUUACUCCCCACCCUCUUCUUUCCACCCCUCUCUAAACUCAGUCCCCCCCACCCCACCUGCAUUUGCAGACCCCACUCCCUAUUUCCUGCUCUCUCUCCCCUCACAGCUCCAACCCCUCCCUCCCUUUCCCCGCCAUCUGGUGGACCCCCUCCCUCUCCCCGCCAUCUGGCAGACCCCCUCCCUUUCCCCGCCAUCUGGCAGACACCCUCCCUCCCCAUCUGGCGGACCGCCUGCCUUCCCCCGCCAUCUGGCGGACCGCCUGCCUCCCCCCGCCAUCUGGCGGACCCCUCCCUCUCCCCGCCAUCUGGCGCACCCCCUUCCUCCCCCCGCCAUCUGGCGGACCCCCUCCCUCUCCCCGCCAUCUGGCGCACCCCCAUCCUCCCCCCGCCAUCUGGCGGACCCCCCUCCCCCCGCUAUCUGGCGGACCCUCUCCCUCCCCUACUCCAAUUCAACUCCAGCAGAAGAACACUGAGGGAAGAUCCCGGCAUCAUCCUGCACUUCCAUGCUCAGACAGUGGGGCUGCAGUACCAGUGGACCCUGUACCUCCACCAUGAAGGUUACCAUCACCAGAGAAACUACGCCAUUAUUCCACCUGCUGGAGACAGCAAUAAUUACAUGUAUCUCACGAGCAGGGCCCUCUUCCCUCAUGUGCUUCUCCUUCUCCUACAUAAACCAUCUCCGAUGGAACCAAAUCACAUGAUAUUCUGCCACCCUGAUACUUAUUUCAGUGUUGUCUGCUGAUGUACAGGACAAUAUGACAAUAAAAC